GGGGAUGUAGCUCAGUUGGCUAGAGCGCUUGACUGGCAGUCAAGAGGUCGUGAGUUCGAUUCCCAUCUUCUCCACUA
rnacentral:tRNA from 1 species